GGUGCAGGGCCCGCGGCUCCACCAGGAUAUAAAAGCCCCCGCGCGCCCUCUGACUCCUGGAUUUGUGGGGGCAGCUGGAGACUUCUCCUUCUGCAGCCAGCCCUUCUGAGGCACCCUCACCUGACGGCGCAACCAUGACCCCGAGUCUUAAACACCAAGAAGUGACUACAGGAAAAGAAGCAAAACAAACAGAUAAUGGAAGAUCAUUUCAAGAGGCCUGGACAGAGUCAUUUGGAGUGACUGAAUGCAGUGGGAAAGGAUUAUGUAUUCUAUGUAGUAAAAGUGUUGUAUGUCCCACUUCAAGGAUCAGAUGACACGUUUUUGGGUUUUUUUGUUUUAUUUUGUUUGGGGUUUUUUGGUACCAGGGAUCGAACUUGGGACCUUGCACUUGGGAGACAGGUGCUGGAACCACUGAGCUAAAUCCCUGGCCAUUCAAGGAUCAGAUGACACUUUGACACAAACCACAAGAGUGUUGUUGAACUUCAUGAAACUGAGUUUCUUGAAGGGAAAUUGAGGAAAUAUCAUUCCCAGUAUCUUAGUUUUUGCAACUCUCUUUCUAAAACAAAUCAUCUGACAGCUGACAGCUUUCAAAUUUCAUUGUGCAUAACAAAACAUGUUUCAAGCACUUCUUACUGACGUUCAGGCACUGAUGUCCAGUGCCUGAGCCAAGGACAAGUCCUGGAGAGAUCUGUAGCCUGCUUGGAUGAAACUGGACUCUUUAUGAAUGAAAAAAGGUAGGAACAUCCAUAGCCCACUGAUUGGCCUGGCUUAACAACCCUGUUUUGUUGUUGUUGUUGUUGUUGUUUGGGGGUUUUUUGUACAAAUUUUUACACUACACUUCAAUGUACUGAAUAAAACAAAAAACUACUGUACAAGAGGUAGGGAAAACAGCAGAAAGGAUAUUUUGUGAUAUAAAAAAAUUUGAGAGAAAACUGCAGGUGUUUGAAAGAAACCUUGAAAGUGAGCAGCUGAAAUAUUUUCCAAAUCUAAAACUGCAUUUAGAUAAUUCUACAUUUGCAGACAAGCCAUCAGGAAAUGUACCAAGACUUUUAUAGCAUUGUAGCAGCUGCAAAAGGAAUUUUAGUAACAGAUUUUUACAAUUCUGUAAGAUGGAGAAACUUGUUUUCUCUUACUUCUCCGGAUAAAGUCAAAUUUUGAAGAACUUGAUCUUUCCUGCUUACACUGGUUAGAUUUUGGAAAUCUGGAAAUAGAGCUAUCGAAAUGUCAAGAAAGCUCUAUCUGGAAAAAUUCUGUUACCUGCAUGUCACACUUGAGAAGAAAGAGUGAAGGGAUGACAAAGGACCAUACAGUUGGUAGUUCUGAAAAUGAAAUCCUUAAAAUGUGGAAUUCUCUGCCAAAUAAUUUUAAGUCAAUGAAAUCACUUGCUGUUGAGUACAACAGCAAAGAUCACAUUAAUUGUGCAAAAGCACGACAAAUGCAAACUUUUACCUCUAAGUAAAAAGCUGUAUCAUUGAAA